CAGUAGCCCGGUAAUACGGAGGGUGCAAGCGUUAAUCGGAAUUACUGGGCGUAAAGCGUGCGUAGGCGGUUCGUUAAGUCUGUUGUGAAAGCCCCGGGCUCAACCUGGGAAUGGCAAUGGAUACUGGCGAGCUAGAGUGUGUCAGAGGAUGGUGGAAUUCCCGGUGUAGCGGUGAAAUGCGUAGAGAUCGGGAGGAACAUCAGUGGCGAAGGCGGCGACCUGGUCCUUGACUGACGCUGAGGCGCGAAAGCGUGGGGAGCAAACAGGAUUAGAUACCCCAGUAGUCCCUGUCUUUUAUACA
rnacentral:rRNA from 1 species